CUUAUUGGAGUCAAUCUCUGGAGUGGAUGGGUUGAUAACACGGGGCAGCUUAGGUAACGAAUACUGAAGCUGAAUCCAGUCGCACUUAGUUCGAGUCUGCAAUUUGUUGCUUCUGUGCUUGCCUUGAACGCGCUUAGCAUGAAGAGAGACUCGUCUUGACGCCGGCAACGUCAACGAAGAUGACGGCGGGGAGGGCGUUGCUGGUCGGGAGAUUGGAUGAAGUGGUUUCCAUUCUCCAAGUGGAGUCAACUCAAAGUCCGCACGAACAUCGACACGGGUGGAGGUUGAUCCAGCUUCUUCAACUAUCUGCAAGCUUGCAUCAAACCAAGUUAAAUUACUCAUUAGAAUACACCAGAGAAGGAUAUGGCGUGACAAUCUCAGGUAUAGGGAGCAUUCGAUGCUAACACUGAGUUAACGCUAAUGUAGCGAGCUUCGAUCACGAUGCACAAUUUACCUACGAGAAAGGCGGCUAAAAUUAGUGCUCUUGUUCAAAAACAACUACAGCGGAAAGAUUUAGACUGGAUUUCGGGUGUCAUUUCAUUGUUAAACGCUCUACUGGGGAACGUACCUCUGCCCCGAGUACUGAUCCAAGUUUACUCUCUUUGACGGAUUUUUCUCUUGAUCCCUUCUUCUCUGGCUUAGGCGGGGGUUCUAAGAAAUGAAAAGCUGAAUUAGAAUACAUUGGCUAAAUAUCGCACGUCUUCAUUUUCAAAACUAUGAAUUGCAUAUUUUCUUCGACGUAUGCACUA